GAUGAACGCUGGCGGCGUGCCUAAUACAUGCAAGUCGAGCGAACGGACGAGAAGCUUGCUUCUCUGAUGUUAGCGGCGGACGGGUGAGUAACACGUGGAUAACCUACCUAUAAGACUGGGAUAACUUCGGGAAACCGGAGCUAAUACCGGAUAAUAUUUUGAACCGCAUGGUUCAAAAGUGAAAGACGGUCUUGCUGUCACUUAUAGAUGGAUCCGCGCUGCAUUAGCUAGUUGGUAAGGUAACGGCUUACCAAGGCAACGAUGCAUAGCCGACAUGAGAGCGACGACGGCCACACUGCACGUGAGCCGCGCACCCGACACCUACAGGGAGCAGCGGCCGGGAUUCUUACGCGAUGGAGCAGUGCGUAAUAUUGCACAAUGGCGGAAAUCAUGAUGCUCCUACGACGCUGCGACGAUGUUGGUAGGCGAAUAGUAAACUGCUGUUGUCUGGGCAGAUCAUGACGGUACCUAAUAAGAAAGCGACGGCUAACUACGUG
rnacentral:rRNA from 1 species